AACAUCCCUAAUGCGCCUUGAAAUGAGGAACUCAAAAGUCACGUGUAAAGAAAAAAUCUCUGUGUAGUGAUAUUGGACAUGUUUCUAUUUUUAACAAAUGACUGAACUUAAUUAUUUGUGGUGAUUAGGAAAGUAGAGGAACAUAGAAUAAAUGUGUAAAAACUAUGGAGCUAUUGAAUGUGUUCAAAGUAUUAAAUUUUCAAAGAACUUAUUGUGUUAAAAAGGGGAUAUUUUACCACAAGGAGCCGCAUCACAAAAGGAUGUUCGGGGUUUGCUAAUUUACGGAAAAAGUAAUCUCACUUCGUACCCCGAAAAUUUAACCACAUAUGUGAAAAUGUCACAGCUUCGAAACGAGCUAUCAUACAUAUCCAAGUUUACGAUAUGGACUGAGCUACAGGGAAAAACGUUACCAUUACCGCCUAUGGAAAAACAAUUAAAGAUAUUGAGCCAAUUUACAAAAGAUAAAUCAGAAGUUUCCAGAGUUAUCUAUGGAUGAUUUCACCUUGUACACCCGGGAAAAUUGUGAAAAUGAUGUUCCAGACAUAUCAUUACUUUUUAACCUGAGAUGACAAACUAGAGGUUUUAAAAGGUCCUGAAUAACUGAAAUGGACAAAAAUACACAGAUUUAUUCAGAAUGUCAUACCGAUGAAGAUCACAUAAACAUAUUUGGAAAAAUCAGAACUAUGGAUUGCAAUAUGGGACAACAUCCCUAAUGCGCCUUGAAAUGAG